UAUAACUUCAAAACUUUAACUGACAAUUUUACAAGAAAAUAUAUAAUCGGUCAAGAAGAAACAAGAACCGACGUUGGAACGUAACAAGUUAUAUAAACUCUAUCUAUUUGGCUUUGGAAAAUAUGUAUUAUUGGUACGUACCAUGCUGGUGGCAGAAGCCGCAGAAGGGUAUGCGUUCAAAGUUUUGACGCAGAAGGCUUUGUGGGUAGUACCGGCACGUUCGCAUAUGACGUCGAUGUAUUUUGUGGCCGAAGCAGAGACUAAAAGAAAUGGUAUCAGAAUCACAAGAGAAAGGAGGCCAACACAAGAGGAAGAAGAAGCCAUUUCUUUAGUUAAAUGUUUUGAUUUUGGUACUUUAUUGUUCAACAAUUGUGGUUUGGUUUAUAUAACACUUGCACGCAUAACAUAUACACAGUACAGUUUUGGCCCAUUUGCUUUAAGAUUGGUCAAAGUUUAAGAUUUUG
rnacentral:lncRNA from 1 species